rnacentral:rRNA from 1 species
AUUGAACGCUGGCGGCAGGCUUAACACAUGCAAGUCGAGCGGGGGCUUCGGUCCUAGCGGCGAACGGGUGAGGAAUGCCUGGGAAUCUGCCUGGUAGUGGGGGAUAACGAUUCGAAAGGGUCGCUAAUACCGCAUACGUCCUACGGGAGAAAGCAGGGGGACCUUCGGGCCUUGCGCUAUCAGAUGAGCCCAGGUCGGAUUAGCUAGUAGGUGAGGUAAAGGCUCACCUAGGCGACGAUCCGUAGCUGGUCUGAGAGGAUGAUCAGCCACACUGGAACUGAGACACGGUCCAGACUCCUACGGGAGGCAGCAGUGGGGAAUAUUGGACAAUGGGCGAAAGCCUGAUCCAGCCAUGCCGCGUGUGUGAAGAAGGCCUCGGUUGUAAAGACACUUUAAGCGGGGAGGAAGGGACGUUCUGGCUAAUAUCCAGGAGCGAUUGACGUUACCGCAGAAUAAGCACCGGC